UUAAUUGAAGAGUUUGAUCAUGGCUCAGAUUGAACGCUGGCGGCAGGCCUAACACAUGCAAGUCGAGCGGCAGCGACAUAAACAAUCCUUCGGGUGCGCUUAUGGGCGGCGAGCGGCGGACGGGUGAGUAAUGCCUGGGAAUAUGCCCUGAUGUGGGGGAUAACCAUUGGAAACGAUGGCUAAUACCGCAUAAUCUCUUCGGAGCAAAGAGGGGGACCUUCGGGCCUCUCGCGUCAGGAUUAGCCCAGGUGAGAUUAGCUAGUUGGUGAGGUAAGAGCUCACCAAGGCGACGAUCUCUAGCUGGUCUGAGAGGAUGAUCAGCCACACUGGAACUGAGACACGGUCCAGACUCCUACGGGAGGCAGCAGUGGGGAAUAUUGCACAAUGGGGGAAACCCUGAUGCAGCCAUGCCGCGUGUGUGAAGAAGGCCUUCGGGUUGUAAAGCACUUUCAGUUGUGAGGAAGGCAUAUGCGUUAAUAGCGUAUGUGUUUGACGUUAGCAACAGAAGAAGCACCGGCUAACUCCGUGCCAGCAGCCGCGGUAAUACGGAGGGUGCGAGCGUUAAUCGGAAUUACUGGGCGUAAAGCGCAUGCAGGCG
rnacentral:rRNA from 1 species